UAUUUCUAUGUAAUACCAUAUGAUCAAUGUAUUGAUGAUGUUCAUUAUUUGAGUUAUGUAAUAGGUACAAUAAAGGUUAACUCUAAGCUUUCAUCAGACGGAAGUUAUCUAGAUAAGAGAGAGGUAAAAGUACUCAACGGACACAGUGAUAAAUAAUGUACAGUUGAAGUAAGUUCUGCGAAAAGUGACUAUACUAUCUGGUUUCGAUUCUUGCUUGAAAUAAUUUCAUUUCAAUCAUUUUGACAGACAUAUGUAAAAGGUGCAAAACAUCACAACUAUGUUCAUCCAGGUCAAGCACAUUCCAGUUUCAAUUUACAAUAAAUUAUGUUCGUUUAAGGUUGUUUAAAGAGUAACACGCGAAUGAAGAUAAGCUGAAACGAGCAGAACACAAGCAGCAAAUGAUUCAGUCUGUAACUUAGAGUUGACUACAACGUGCGGUCAUCCAGGCUCAUAUAAUAAUAAUGUAUUGUGAGACACACUUUGAGAGCGGUUUUGAAGCUAAUAAAGAAAUCUUAAUGUGUGUGCGCGCGCACCAUUCUCCCCCCCUCUCUUAAACAAUAUCAUACACAUCCCUC